rnacentral:lncRNA from 1 species
CGGAGGGAAUAGUCUGGUCCUGGGGAGCGCGGCUGGUGGUAGCUGUGAGCCUUCUUGCUUUUGACGAGAAAUGAGCGCGGCAUGGUGGUCCGGCACUUUCCCCACUGCGCCCCAAGAGUCCCUGGAGCCGCUGUCACCCACGGUCACUCCGAGGGCUUGCUCAGCCCCAGCCCGGAGGAGACCAGGUGGCACUUGGACAGGUGGCGCGAACCCGCCGUCGUUGCCGCC